UCAAGCUAGUAAGGGCGUUCGGUGGAUGCCUUGGCACCAAGAGGCGAUGAAGGACGUGGCAAAACUGCGAUAAGCCACGGGGAGCCGUAAGCAGGCGUUGAUCCGUGGAUCUCCGAAUCGGGAAACCGACACCGAGUAACGUCGGUGUAGCCCCGGCUGAAUACAUAGGCUGGGAGCGGCGAACGAGGGGAACUGAAACAUCUCAGUACCCGCAGGAAAAGAAAUCAACCGAGAUUCUCCUAGUAGCGGCGAGCGAACGGGGAGGAGCCCAAACCUGAUCCGUGCCAAGCUGGUAGGCGUUGCGGAUCGGGGGUUGCAGGACCUGGUGGAGCCGGCUACCGACGGCUCGCUGGUGGCUUGGGUCUAGCCGAACGAUCUGGGAAGGUCGACCGGAGCGGGUGAGAGUCCCGUAGGCGAAAUGUGGCAAGCGUGGGUGAUCGGGCACCUGAGUACCGCGGAGCACGUGGAAUUCCGUGGGAAGCUGGGGGGACCACCCUCCAAGGCGAAAUACUCGUGACGACCGAUAGUGAACGAGUACCGUGAGGGAAAGGUGAAAAGAACCCCGGAAGGGGAGUGAAAUAGAUCCUGAAACCGCAUGCUUACAAAAAGUCGGAGCCCGCAAGGGUGACGGCGUACCUUUUGUAUAAUGGGUCAGCGACUUAUAUUCUGUAGCAAGGUUAACCGAAUAGGGGAGCCGUAGGGAAACCGAGUCUUAAUAGGGCGACUAGUUGCAUGCCGUAGACCCGAAACCGGGUGACCUAUCCAUGGCCAGGUUGAAGCGAGGGUAAAACUUCGUGGAGGACCGAACCACGUUGCUGUUGAAAAAGCAUGGGAUGAGCUGUGGAUAGCGGAGAAAUUCCAAUCGAACUCGGAGAUAGCUGGUUCUCCCCGAAAUGCAUUUAGGUGCAGCGUUGCGUGUUUCGUGCCGGAGGUAGAGCACUGGAUAGGCGAUGGGCCCCACCGGGUUACUGACCUUAGCCAAACUCCGAAUGCCGGUAAGUGAGAGCAUGGCAGUGAGACUGCGGGGGAUAAGCUCCGUAGUCGAGAGGGAAACAGCCCAGAACAUCAGCUAAGGCCCCUAAGCGUGUGCUAAGUGGGGAAGGAUGUGGAGUUGCACAGACAACCAGGAGGUUGGCUUGGAGGCAGCCAUCCUUGAAAGAGUGCGUAAUAGCUCACUGGUCAAGUGAUUCCGCGCCGACAAUGUAGCGGGGCUCAAGUACACCGCCGAAACCGUGGCAUUCAAGCUUUUGUUUGGAUGGGUAGGGGAGCGUCGUGCACGAGGUGAAGCCAGCGGGGAACUUCUGGUGGAUUGUGUACGAGUGAGAAUGCAGGCAUGAGUAGCGAAAGACGGGUGAGAAACCCGUCCGCCGGAUGACCAAGGGUUCCAGGGUCAAGCUAAUCUGCCCUGGGUAAGUCGGGACCUAAGGCGAGGCCGACAGGCGUAGUCGAUGGACAACGGGUUGAUAUUCCCGUACCGGCGAAGGACCGCCCCUGCUGACCUGGUGAUACUAACCGCCCGAACCAUCCCGAACCCCGUCUUUGACGGGGUCGGUGGUGGGGAGCGCGGGACCUGAACCAGGAAGGCAAGCGUAUUAACAGGUGUGACGCAGGAAGGUAGCCGGGCCAGGCAAUGGAAUCGACCUGGUCUAAGGGUGUAGGGCUGCCGGUAGGUAAAUCCGCCGGCUGUAUGUCUGAGACCUGAUGGGCGCCCACCAUGUGGGUGAUCCGGUGAUCCUAUGCUGCCAAGAAAAGCAUCGACGCGAGGUCCCAGCCGCCCGUACCCCAAACCGACACAGGUGGUCAGGGUGAGAAUCCCAAGGCGCUUGAGAGAACUCCGGUUAAGGAACUAGGCAAAUUGUAGCCGUACCUUCGGAAGAAGGCUAGCCUCUUGGUGUGUAGUGCACAACGAAGCAUCGGGAGGUCGCAGAGAAAUGGGGGUUGCGACUGUUUACCAAAAACACAGGUCUCUGCCAACCCGCAAGGGGACGUAUAGGGGCUGACACCUGCCCAGUGCCGGAAGGUUAAGAGGAGCGGUCAGGCGCAAGCCGAAGCUGCGAAUUGAAGCCCCGGUGAACGGCGGCCGUAACUAUAACGGUCCUAAGGUAGCGAAAUUCCUUGUCGGGUAAGUUCCGACCCGCACGAAUGGCCUCAUGAGUGGAGCACUGUCUCAACGAAGGACCCGGCGAAAUUGAAGUACGUGUGAAGAUGCGCGUUACCCGCACUAGGACAAAAAGAC
rnacentral:rRNA from 1 species